UACGUAGGUGGCAAGCGUUGUCCGGAUUUACUGGGCGUAAAGAGCGCGCAGGCGGUCGCUCAAGUCGCGUGUGAAAGCCCCCGGCUCAACUGGGGAGGGUCACGCGAUACUGAUCGACUCGAAGGCAGGAGAGGGUAGUGGAAUUCCCGGUGUAGUGGUGAAAUGCGUAGAUAUCGGGAGGAACACCAGUGGCGAAGGCGACUACCUGGCCUGUUUCUCGACGCUGAGGCGCGAAAGCUAGGGGAGCAAACGGG
rnacentral:rRNA from 1 species